rnacentral:rRNA from 1 species
UUGACCUCGGAUCAGGUAGGGAUACCCGCUGAACUUAAGCAUAUCAAAGAGGGGGGAGAGAAAAA